rnacentral:lncRNA from 1 species
UAAGGCCUGCCUUUUCUGGCUGAUUGCUGCAGAGGCUGUGGUUUGGCUUCCAAGCAAGUUACUGCUAAGUUUGUGGAUCAGAGGUCUACAGUAUUCUAAGGUCUGGCCACUGUCCAUUUAUAUAUUCAGUCUCUCAAGACACUUUGGAGAAAGCUCCAACUCCUCAUCAUGGAAUAAAGAACCCUUCACACUUGACUCCAGACUCAAAUACCUUGGCAGAAGGAUCUGGAUGGCUGAGCACAGCAAGUUUGCCCUUGUCUCGAUGGUGGCGUAUGGGGAGAGGCAAUGUCUGGCACCCUUUGGCUUCCUGUGCAGCAGUAGGUAAGGACUUGCCUC